CUGAUUGCAAACCCCCCCCCCCGCUUCUGAGCUUUUUCUGCCAUUUUUGCUUUACUUUUCCUUCCCUUAUUAGCUAGCAAUACCUGAUCCUGGGCGGCCUGAACAUCCAGGAACCCUGGACGCUGCACCAUCGUGACAAGAAAUACGCGUUCCUGCCCUUCCCAGCACCGGCUGCAUCCACUCAGACGGAAAUGCAAGAUUUCAGGCUUUGCAGCAAGAAAGAAGUUGUAUGUUAUUAGCAUCCAAAAUCAUCAGGAGUGAUGGUCUUCAACAAUUCUACAUUUGCUUUAAACAUUCUGCUGACCGAGGUGAAGUAAAAGGUGUUUAUGAAAGCAAAAGCAUCUCCACAAUGAAACCCAGUCUGGAAUUUUGAGUUCCAGGAAAAAGAGGAACCUGAGGACACAGAAGACUGCAGCAUCUGAGAACAGAAGGAAUUAUAUUUUCAGCAACAAAAAUAAGAUUUUCUUUGGAAAAGAUGACAUAAUUCUUAAAAAUAAAUCAGAUUUUCAAUUAACCUUAGUUACAAACAGCAACCUCCUUUUUACUGGUAGUGAGGCAGCAGAGAGUCUAACUGAAUUUCUGUAAUUAAUCAUUACAACAACAAAUAAAUUAUCUAGUUAGGGAUGUAGAAAUAAUACACACUUCUAAAGGAACUACUUUUCAAAUGAUUAAUAUAUUAAUUGUACUACAGUUUUCAGUUUGCUGGCCUGACAAAUAAUGCAUGCUGAGAGAAAAUUGUGAAUUUUAAUGUCCAGUUCUGUCACAGCCUUGAUAUUUAGUGUAUAUACACGCAAAAGUAUGGAUGAAGUGGAAUCAUUCACUAAAUAACACUUAUAUUCAUAGACAGGGUAUUCAAUGUAUUAUAUUAAGCAGUAGCUGUAAAAAAGUAAUAAAGACAACUCUUGAUAUUUCUAUCUAUGCAUUGGUAAGUUUAUGCAUUUGUUCCUGGGUGAAGGGCUUUUUGUUUUGAUUUAAUAAUGUAAUUUCGUUUUUUCAAAAUGAAGAAACUGGCAAUAAUACCAUAGUUUUUGGUUAAGAAAGGAACUCUGUGUUGUUUAGAGGAAGAGCUGAACAUAAACAAAAGAUAAAAGCAAGAAUGUGGUAUUCUAAACCUUUAAUGGUACAUAAGAGGGUACUCAAACCAUCCCCCUCAACUUUAUUUUUUUUUAAAAGGGAAUGGAAAAAACAACAAAAGUAUUCACUAGAACAGUAUAGGAUUAUUUAUUUCAGCAAACACGGGCAUUCACAGCCAUCUUAUUCCCUGAGCCGGUAUUUGGAAAACACUGUAUUCUAGAAGCAGUUUCUAAAGCUGCCUACAUCUUAGCAAGACAGAAGAGCGUAGGGAAAUUUCAGUCAUUAUUAUGACCUAUAUAAAAGAAAUACAGUAAGUAAAAUUACUAAAAUGAUACUCCAGGGAUUACUGUACUGAAUAGAUGUUAGAUUUUUUUUUUUUCUUAGAGGAUAAUGGUUAAGAAAAAGUAGUUUCAAGCUCACAGGGUACCAUUCAUGCUAUUCACUCAGUUACAAGCUUCAUUUUCGUUUCUGUGCCCUAAAUCUUGUUCUACAGAUAUGCUCAAUUUUUCAUUCCUAGCUUUUUCUUCAUAAUGUCAAUGCUGCUUUCCUCCUCGGUUUUCUUUACUUAUCAGGUUCUUCAGAUCUUAUUAGAGAUGAUCGGAAAGAAAUUAUUUUUCUGUUGAACUGAAAGUUGGAAAUGUUAUUCCAUAGAGAAAUUAUAAAUUUACU